AACGCACAUUGCGCCCAUUGGUAUUCCGAUGGGCAUGCCUGUUCGAGCGUCAUUAUCCCCCCUCAAACCUUCGGUUUGGUGUUGGACCAUGUUGUGUGAUGAACAACUGGUCUUAAAGACAAUGACGGCGUCCGUGGGACCCUCGAUGCAACGAGCUUUUUAGGAGCACGCGUUGAGUUAGGACCUUCGGGGCCCGUCUUCCUACAGUUUUACUUAGGUUGACCUCGGAUCAGGUAGGAAUACCCGCUGAACUUAA
rnacentral:misc_RNA from 1 species